rnacentral:rRNA from 1 species
CGUACACUCCUGCGGGAGGCAGCAGUGGGGAAUAUUGCACAAUGGGCGCAAGCCUGAUGCAGCCAUGCCGCGUGUAUGAAGAAGGCCUUCGGGUUGUAAAGUACUUUCAGCGGGGAGGAAGGCGAUAAGGUUAAUAACCUUGUCGAUUGACGUUACCCGCAGAAGAAGCACCGGCUAACUCCGUGCCAGCAGCCGCGGUAAUACGGAGGGUGCAAGCGUUAAUCGGAAUUACUGGGCGUAAAGCGCACGCAGGCGGUCUGUCAAGUCGGAUGUGAAAUCCCCGGGCUCAACCUGGGAACUGCAUUCGAAACUGGCAGGCUAGAGUCUUGUAGAGGGGGGUAGAAUUCCAGGUGUAGCGGUGAAAUGCGUAGAGAUCUGGAGGAAUACCGGUGGCGAAGGCGGCCCCCUGGACAAAGACUGACGCUCAGGUGCGAAAGCGUGGGGAGCAAACAGGAUUAGAAACCCCUGUAGUCCC